UACGUAGGGCGCAAGCGUUAUCCGGAAUUAUUGGGCGUAAAGAGCUCGUAGGCGGUUUGUCGCGUCUGCCGUGAAAGUCCGGGGCUCAACUCCGGAUCUGCGGUGGGUACGGGCAGACUAGAGUGAUGUAGGGGAGACUGGAACUCCUGGUGUAGCGGUGAAAUGCGCAGAUAUCAGGAGGAACACCGAUGGCGAAGGCAGGUCUCUGGGCCAUAACUGACGCUGAGAAGCGAAAGCAUGGGGAGCGAACAGG
rnacentral:rRNA from 1 species